AUUGAACGCUGGCGGCAUGCUUUACACAUGCAAGUCGAACGGUAACAGGUUAAGCUGACGAGUGGCGAACGGGUGAGUAAUGCAUCGGAACGUGCCCGGUCGUGGGGGAUAACGCAGCGAAAGCUGCGCUAAUACCGCAUACGAUCUGAGGAUGAAAGCGGGGGACCGUAAGGCCUCGCGCGAUCGGAGCGGCCGAUGUCAGAUUAGGUAGUUGGUGGGGUAAAGGCCCACCAAGCCGACGAUCUGUAGCUGGUCUGAGAGGACGACCAGCCACACUGGGACGGGGACACGGCCCAGACUCCUACGGGAGGCAGCAGUGGGGAAUUUUGGACAAUGGGCGAAAGCCUGAUCCAGCAAUGCCGCGUGCAGGAAGAAGGCCUUCGGGUUGUAAACUGCUUUUGUACGGAGCGAAAAGGUCCUUUCUAAUACAAGGGGCUCAUGACGGUACCGUAAGAAUAAGCACCGGCUAACUACGUGCCAGCCGCCGCAGUAACAC
rnacentral:rRNA from 1 species